rnacentral:rRNA from 1 species
AUUGAACGCUGGCGGCAGGCCUAACACAUGCAAGUCGAGCGAGCGGCGGACGGGUGAGUAAUGUCUGGGGAACUGCCUGAUGGAGGGGGAUAACUACUGGAAACGGUAGCUAAUACCGCAUACCAUCAGAUGGGCCCAUAUGGGAUUAGCUAGUGGGUGGGGUAAAGGCUCACCAAGGCAACGAUCCCUAGCUGGUUUGAGAGGAGGACCAGCCACACUGGAACUGAGACACGGUCCAGACUCCUACGGGAGGCAGCAGUGGGGAAUAUUGCACAAUGGGCGCAAGCCUGAUGCAGCCAUGCCGCGUGUGUGAAGAAGGCCUUCGGGUUGUAAAGCACUUUCAGCGGGGAGGCGUUACCCGCAGAAGAAGCACCGGCUAACUCCGUGCCAGCAGCCGCGGUAAUUC